rnacentral:rRNA from 1 species
UACGUAGGGCGCAAGCGUUAUCCGGAAUUAUUGGGCGUAAAGAGCUCGUAGGCGGUUUGUCGCGUCUGCCGUGAAAGUCCGGGGCUCAACUCCGGAUCUGCGGUGGGUACGGGCAGACUAGAGUGAUGUAGGGGAGACUGGAAUUCCUGGUGUAGCGGUGAAAUGCGCAGAUAUCAGGAGGAACGCCGAUGGCGAAGGCAGGUCUCUGGGCAUUAACUGACGCUGAGGAGCGAAAGCGUGGGGAGCAAACAGG